UGCACCUGAUUGAUUUUGGUCGCCAACGAGUGGCGGACGGGUGAGUAACACGUAGGUAACCUGCCCAGAAGCGGGGGACAACAUUUGGAAACAGAUGCUAAUACCGCAUAACAGCGUUGUUCGCAUGAACAACGCUUAAAAGAUGGCUUCUCGCUAUCACUUCUGGAUGGACCUGCGGUGCAUUAGCUUGUUGGUGGGGUAACGGCCUACCAAGGCGAUGAUGCAUAGCCGAGUUGAGAGACUGAUCGGCCACAAUGGGACUGAGACACGGCCCAUACUCCUACGGGAGGCAGCAGUAGGGAAUCUUCCACAAUGGGCGCAAGCCUGAUGGAGCAACACCGCGUGAGUGAAGAAGGGUUUCGGCUCGUAAAGCUCUGUUGUUAAAGAAGAACACGUAUGAGAGUAACUGUUCAUACGUUGACGGUAUUUAACCAGAAAGUCACGGCUAACUACGUGCCAGCAGCCGCGGUAAUACGUAGGUGGCAAGCGUUAUCCGGAUUUAUUGGGCGUAAAGAGAGUGCAGGCGGUUUUCUAAGUCUGAUGUGAAAGCCUUCGGCUUAACCGGAGAAGUGCAUCGGAAACUGGAUAACUUGAGUGCAGAAGAGGGUAGUGGAACUCCAUGUGUAGCGGUGGAAUGCGUAGAUAUAUGGAAGAACACCAGUGGCGAAGGCGGCUACCUGGUCUGCAACUGACGCUGAGACUCGAAAGCAUGGGUAGCGAACAGGAUUAGAUACCCUGGUAGUCCAUGCCGUAAACGAUGAGUGCUAGGUGUUGGAGGGUUUCCGCCCUUCAGUGCCGGAGCUAACGCAUUAAGCACUCCGCCUGGGGAGUACGACCGCAAGGUUGAAACUCAAAGGAAUUGACGGGGGCCCGCACAAGCGGUGGAGCAUGUGGUUUAAUUCGAAGCUACGCGAAGAACCUUACCAGGUCUUGACAUCUUGCGCCAACCCUAGAGAUAGGGCGUUUCCUUCGGGAACGCAAUGACAGGUGGUGCAUGGUCGUCGUCAGCUCGUGUCGUGAGAUGUUGGGUUAAGUCCCGCAACGAGCGCAACCCUUGUUACUAGUUGCCAGCAUUAAGUUGGGCACUCUAGUGAGACUGCCGGUGACAAACCGGAGGAAGGUGGGGACGACGUCAGAUCAUCAUGCCCCUUAUGACCUGGGCUACACACGUGCUACAAUGGACGGUACAACGAGUCGCGAACUCGCGAGGGCAAGCAAAUCUCUUAAAACCGUUCUCAGUUCGGACUGCAGGCUGCAACUCGCCUGCACGAAGUCGGAAUCGCUAGUAAUCGCGGAUCAGCAUGCCGCGGUGAAUACGUUCCCGGGCCUUGUACACACCGCCCGUCACACCAUGAGAGUUUGU
rnacentral:rRNA from 2 species